CCAAGCGGUGUUCGGAUUUAUUGGGCGUAAAGGGUGCGUAGGCGGCGGAGUAAGUUGGGUGUGAAAUCCCGGGGCUCAACCUCGGAAUUGCAUUCAAUACUGCUUCGCUCGAGUACUGGAGAGGAGACUGGAAUUUACGGUGUAGCAGUGAAAUGCGUAGAUAUCGUAAGGAAGGCCGGUGGCGAAAGCGAGUCUCUGGACAGUUACUGACGCUGAUGCACGAAGGCCAGGGGAGCAAACGGG
rnacentral:rRNA from 1 species